rnacentral:tRNA from 1 species
ACCUGCCUGGCUCAGUCGGGAGAGCAUGCGACUCUUGAUCUCAGGGCUGUGAGUUCAAGCCCCACGUUUGGUG